AUUCAAGGCAGUGAACAUAUCCGGUAUAGCUUUUUCCUCCCAUUUUUCCCACAUCAACCCUGUGAGGUAGGCUGGCCUGAGACAGAGUCAGCCAAGGUUAUCCAGGUGGCUUUCAUGGUUAAGAUUUAUCUGGUAACUAAGACAUUCCCUACCCUGAAGAGCUGGUUGCUUUAAUUGAAGACUGAAAUGAAAUAAACAGGAGUGGAAAAGCAGAAGGCAUUGCGCCUCGUUCAUAUUCCAAAUGGCGUAGGUUGGUAGGCAGCUUUGCAAAUGGGGAUUAAGAGCUUUCAUAAACACAUGAAAAUCUAUUUCAGUUGCAAUGAUCAGAAGAAAGCAGUUGAAAACAUCUUCUGGUGGACCAGUUGCUCCAUUCAGCUUCCCAAACAACUGAUUGGCAGCGGAUCGAGUACCCUGUUAAUGUGGGAAUUUUGGCUUGAGCAAACUCUCUCACUUCCCUGGGCCAUUUACCCACCCCACCAAUCAACUGUUUUGUUGACCUGAUUUGAAUGUGAUUUGGUUGAAUGCUCUUUGAAAUUUCCAGGCUUGCUGGACCCUGUAUCAAAACACCUGCUGAACAAUUGAUUGGUGGGAUGGCUGAGCUACCCAUUAAAACAGAGGCAGUAACUAUGUGCUCAUCUGUUAAAACAUUGGCAGAAUUUUCCAUCAUCCGGCAAUUUUCAGAAAUGGAGAAGUCAGCCUUUGCUUUCAUGCAAGUCGCGCAACAAAAAUCAGAACACCCCUAUCUAGCAGCAAGCCAGGAACCGAGGCUGUCGGGAAAGGGUAGAGAAGGGCUGUGAGCAUAUCAAAUUUUAUGGAAUAAUUUUUUUUGCCAGUAACAGAUGGAUAUCAUUUCAUGGGAGUCUUCAACGCCACCCAAAUGUGUGUUGAAAAAUGGCCGUAUUUCUUCUGUGUUUUUCCAGGAUAGAACCUUCAACCUGCCAGAAGCUCAGGAGCUCAGCUGCAGCUGAUAACUAUUGAAAAGUUGCCUAUGAUUGCUGCAGGUCUGUAGCCCAUCAAAGUCUUUUCUAGGUCAAGACUUCCCUGACCUACUGGCUUGUCAUCCAUGACACCUUCCAUAAUUUUUCACUUGUAGGACAUCAAACUGGAGAAGCUGGUUGAUAUAUGAAAAGGUUACAUUAGAAAAUUUAUCUGCUGAAAGGAUCUGAUACAUAUGCUAUAAAUUCAGUCACAGCACCAGCUGGUUAAAAGCCUAUCUUCCUCAAAGCUAAGGAAGAAAAGCUUACAAAUUAAAUAAAAAGUCCUCUCCUUGAUUAGUUUCCACCCAUUGCUUCUUGUUCUACUCUCAGGUGCUUUGGAGAAUAGUUUGACCCCCUCUUCUUUGUGGCAACCCCUGAGAUAUUGGAACACUGCUAUUAUGUCUCCCCUAGUCCUUCUUUUCAUUAAACUAGACAUACCCAGUUCCUGCAACCGUUCUUCAUAUGUUUUAGCCUCCAGUCCCCUAAUCAUCUUUGUUGCUCUUCUCUGCACUCUUUCUAGAGUCUCAACCCCUUUUUUACAUUGUAAAAAUGAAUGUACAUUUACAUUCAUUACAAAACUGAAUGCAAUAUUCCAAGUGUGGCCUUACCAAGGCAUUAUAAAGUGGUAUUAACACUUCACGUGAUCUUGAUUCUAUCCCUCUGUUUAUGCAGCCCAGAACUGUGUUAGCUUUUUUGGCAGCUGAUGCACA